ACAGUAGAAUAAAUACCUACCGACUGACAUGUCAUCUAUGGACCCCCGGCCCACAACCGCACGGUUCCUCCACGUCUGCGGCUGAGCAAAGGAGUUGCACGCACGCGCAAGAAAGGAGGCCGGAGGAGUGAGACUGAGGAAAAGAAGUGAGAGCGGCGAACAGCGACGAUUCUGCGCAUGUUCAAGGCGCGGAUAUUGGGGUAGGAGUUUGCGCAUGAGCAGAAGUGUAGGGAAAGCUGGAGAAGGGUUUGGAGGCGGUAUUGACAGCUGUGUAGGCAGCCCGCGUUCCCGGCAUGCCCUGGGGCGGCGGGGUUGGCUCUAACGAAUUUGAAUGAGGAGCCUCAGCGCUUUCGGCGCCAUUUUCGAGUGAUGCCUGAUCUCAUCAAUCUAGCGGGAGAGACGGGAUAACCUGUCCGAGAUUAUAGCGCUACUAGGACUCCGCCGAAAAAUCUCUAAAAAAAUCGCCAAAAAUUACUUCGACCAAAGGGCAGUCCGUGGGGCUUCGCCAGGGUUGCCGCAGACGUCUUUGAAACAUGUCGCAAGGAUAAAAGCAAUCUGUGAAACUAUUGAUGUUUUCCUCCCGAAAAGUCUUAGCCCGGACAACUUAACGGUUUUGACCUUUAGGAGAGAGCCAAUUCUGGAGAACAACCUAACUUCUUUGAUUGAACACUCACAUAAUGCAUUGGAACAUGAUAGGAGAUUAAGAUUUGAUAUUGAUAAAAUGAAGACCAUAAUAAAACAGUCCCCUACUUAGCCCAGCAGUUCUUAUCUUGCAUGUAUUUUGAUACCACCACCGCCUCCCCUCCAAAGGUGAGAACUGACUAUUCCAUGUGUACCUAGACCAUGUGGAGAAAGGACUGAGACUGAAAACAGAAAACAGACAUUGUCCGUAUAGAGCAGAGUACCUCACAACAGCUCACUCCAGCAAAGGGCAAUAAAUGCCACACCAGAUGAUCUCUCAUCACAAAACUUUACAUCUGACUUACAUGCCUGGUCUGAUGACUUCUUUUUAUGACUCCUAAAUUGUGGAGGCGAUUCCGAGGCUCUGGCCGUGAAGCCGGGCAUAAUCGGUAGCGGAGCAGGUUUUCUGGAGCACAGACCCACUGCACCCGCCCAGCGGACGCCCCCUGCACGCCGCUCCAAUUCACGCCUUGUUCCAGUGCCCAGCUGGCUUCCGCUGUGCAUCUGGGAGUGCAGCUCAAACUGAGCUCUCCGCCAGCCCCCCACCCACGCAGUUCGCUGUCCUGCCAGGGCAAGUCCCCAUCCUCGCAGCAGCCCCGAGGAUCACCCCC